UCCCUGAAAAUUGAGAAACUUGCAUUCAGUGUAUUUCUUGUCAAUGUAUUUGUGUGAUUUAUCUUGGCUAAAGCUCGGGAUCUCUUCAGAAGAGUACUGAGGAGGAGCUUUGACACACUUUUGGGAAGUAUGGAGCUCAUUAGGGUGUUUCUAUUAAAGGUUAUGUUUAGACUCCUGAUUAUCUGUGGAACACCAACAAGUGGUGUUAAAGAGCAACUUCUCUUCUUUCUGGAAAACAUACAAUGAAAUUGCUGCAGGAAUACAGCAGAGACCUGCAGACUGAUGAGUGGCUGGGAGAAGUUCCCAGAUGUAUAUGACCUCUGUGAAUGUUUCCACCCCUUCCAUCAGGUUGCAUCAUGUACCUCACUCGACAGUUACUGCGUCUCAUCAGAGCAGAGCCGCAUCCAGAAAUGGGACACAUCCUUCAAGGAACACCAGUGUGAUGCAGAAAAAAGAAUGAAAUGUCUUGGCGCACGGUGGGGACAUGCCGAGGACACACUGGUCUUGCGCAGGUGAGAGCUGAUGGAUCUGUGGAAACCUGAUGCUAACUGCUGCUGUCCCCCCACUGUAGGAGAUACCUGACUCCAGGUUGAAUGGCUGGUUACAAUGUGACUCUACAAACCAGUUAAGGACCUCAUCUGUCUUCAACUUACCAAGUAUUCUGAAUAGCAGAUGAACACAAAAAUAAUAAUUUCAUCCUGAUAUAAUAAUGUAGCAAUCCAAAUA